CAGCAGCCACGGUAAUACGUAGGUGGCAAGCGUUGUCCGGAAUUAUUGGGCGUAAAGGGCUCGCAGGCGGUUUCUUAAGUCUGAUGUGAAAGCCCCCGGCUCAACCGGGGAGGGUCAUUGGAAACUGGGAAACUUGAGUGCAGAAGAGGAGAGUGGAAUUCCACGUGUAGCGGUGAAAUGCGUAGAGAUGUGGAGGAACACCAGUGGCGAAGGCGACUCUCUGGUCUGUAACCGACGCUGAGGAGCGAAAGCGUGGGGAGCGAACAGGAUUAGAUACCCCCGUAGUCCCUGUCUCUUAUAC
rnacentral:rRNA from 1 species